rnacentral:rRNA from 1 species
GAACGCUGGCGGCAGGCCUAACACAUGCAAGUCGAACGCCCUAGCAAUAGGGAGUGGCAGACGGGUGAGUAACACGUGGGAACCUUCCCUAUAGUACGGAAUAGCCCAGGGAAACUUGGAGUAAUACCGUAUACGCCCGUAAGGGGAAAGAUUUAUACGCUAAUAGGAUGGGCCCGCGUAGGAUUAGCUAGUUGGUGAGGUAAUGGCUCACCAAGGCGACGA